GGGGUUACUGAUGCGCAUGCUCCAACAGGUCUUCUCGCGGGAGCCGGCUGCGUCCUCAAGACUGUCCUCGAGGGUACUCUGCGUGUGCCUCAGAAUACUGAGGUUGCCUCAAUAAAGUCUGAGACUACGUCUUGGUAAUUGACCCCUGGACUGAUAACCGCGGAAAGAGAAGGAAUGCUCAUAUAUGACCUGUGGUCUAAUCACACCAGGAGGGUAUUAAUUCCAUUUCACCCAUGAGGAAACCGAGGCUCAAGAAGCUGAAGUCAUCCACCCAAGUCCACAAGGCUAGAAGUGGAGAAGCUGGGAUUCAAACUCAAGUCCCACUUUAGCUUCUGAGAUGAGGAGUGAGUUAAAGAGUAACUAGAAAGAACGGAUACGACAAGUUUAUUCUGGGGUUUGGGCCCCUCCUCUGAUGAUACCAGAAUUUGGAGCCUGUUUCUGGACGUCUGCCCUGCGGCAGCUUGUCAGCCUUCAGCCCAGAAGUGCUCGGCAAACACCCACUAAACAGAUUCUACUAUUUGUGUUCCUUCCUCUACUUCCCACUUUCAUGUACUAUCAGGUCAGCUAGGAAGUCCUAUCAACCACAAACUGAUCCAUCCAACAAACAUUUGUCAAGGGUCUGUUGAGUACCAGACACUCUUCUAGGUGCUGGGUAAGCAAAGUGAACCAGACAGACACAGCCCUCCUCCCACAGAAGUUACAUCUUAGUGGAAGAGGAAAGACAGCUCACGAAUAAAUACCCCAUGACAGGCCCCGGUAGCCUCCAUUCUGCUGCCACACUCUUAACAGCUUUCGGAUGUUUUCCUCCUUCCACCCAGCCUGGCUGCCAGAUGCAUUUUAAAGUGCAAAUCAGGCCUCCUAUCUCCUGAUUAAAAUACCGUCUAGACGACUCAGGACUUAAAUCUUUAAAUGUCUUAUCGGGCGUCCCUGGCGCUUCAGGAUCGCCUCUGCUUACCUCUCCAGCUUCAUCUCCAGGGACCCCCGCGCUCUGCACACGGAGAUGUUUUCAACACAAGCCGCCUUUCUUCCACCCGGAAUGUUCUCUAACUGGAGAUCUCCAUUCACCAAACACCUGAGUGCCUCUAUGGCGGGCAGGUGCCAGGCUUUGGUCCGUUACCCUCCGGGACAGCCUCCUUUUAUCCCGCCCCGGCGCCUCCAGCUCCUAGGAGGCACAGCUUUUCUCACCCAGUCCUACAGUCCUUCAAGUGAGCAGGGACCGUGCCUCGUUCAUUCUUCUGCCAAAGGGCGGGCAUCCAAGUAUCGUUAGUGGGAUGAAUGGAAGAGUAACGACGGGCGUUCUAAAAAAGACGCUAAGAACUUCGGAAACGUCUGCACGUCUGGGUGGCGGUUCGGCGGGCACCCGAGUAAGGGAGAAGUCUCCACUCUAGGAGGAGACCUCGGUGACCCGGGGGACCCCAGGGAGACUAGAGGGGCAAAGCGCGGCUUUCGCAUUUGCGUCUGCGCAGUAGUCUCACUCCGCAGGGAGGCGGAGUCGAGAAGAGCCGGGGGCGGGAUGCGGGGACUCCGCUGGCCAAUUAACCGGCGUGGCUCCGUGAGAGGGGCGGGGCGAGCGCGACCGAGAGGUGG